AAACAGGGCUGAAUGUAAUAGAAAUGAG
rnacentral:piRNA from 1 species